rnacentral:rRNA from 1 species
GUGAAGCGGUAACAGCUCAAAUUUGAAAGCUAGCUCUUUUAGGGUUCGCAUUGUAAUUUGUAGAAGAUGCUUCGGGUGUGGCCCCGGUCUAAGUUCCUUGGAACAGGACGUCAUAGAGGGUGAGAAUCCCGUAUGUGACUGGGUGCUUUCGCUCAUGUGAAGCUCUUUCGACGAGUCGAGUUGUUUGGGAAUGCAGCUCAAAAUGGGUGGUAAAUUUCAUCUAAAGCUAAAUAUUGGCCAGAGACCGAUAGCGCACAAGUAGAGUGAUCGAAAGAUGAAAAGCACUUUGGAAAGAGAGUUAAACAGUACGUGAAAUUGUUGAAAGGGAAGCGCUUGCAACCAGACUUGCGCGCUGAUGAUCAUCCGGGCUUCUGCCCGGUGCACUCGUCUGCGCUCAGGCCAGCAUCGGUUUCGGUGGUGGGAUAAAGGCCUUGGGAAUGUAGCUUCUUUCGGGGAGUGUUAUAGCCCUCGGUGCAAUGCCGCCUACCGGGACCGAGGACCGCGCUUCGGCUAGGAUGCUGGCGUAAUGGUUGUAAGCGACCCGUCUUGAAACACGGACCAAGGAGUCUAACAUCUAUGCGAGUGUUUGGGUGUCAAACCCAUACGCGUAAUGAAAGUGAACGGAGGUGAGAACCCUUAAGGGUGCAUCAUCGACCGAUCCUGAUGUCUUCGGAUGGAUUUGAGUAAGAGCAUAGCUGUUGGGACCCGAAAGAUGGUGAACUAUGCGUGAAUAGGGUGAAGCCAGAGGAAACUCUGGUGGAGGCUCGCAGCGGUUCUGACGUGCAAAUCGAUCGUCAAAUUUGCGUAUAGGG